CUUCUCCCUCGAUCUCCCAUCACUAAUGCUGCCAGCUCCGACGCGCCGCCGAUGAGUCGACCGAAGCGCUCCGCCGACGCCCGCGACCUCACACCCUCCUCCUCCUCCCCAGCAGCCGCCGCCGCCGCCUGCGACGAUGACGACGAUCGCCUACGGAAGAGAAAACAACUACAAUUAUAUCCGCAACCGGAACCGCAGCCGCCGCAGCAGCAGCAGCAGCAGCAUGUUGUCGACGUGAUUCAAGAACGUAAGAAUGAUAACACCUAUUUUUCCGCCGGUAGUAGCAGUAGUAGUAGUGCAGUGGAGUCGCGGGUGCUCCGCCUGCUGGGGCUGCUGCUCCACUGCGCCGAAGCCGUGGCUGCCGACCGGCUAUCGGAGGCACGCGACAUCCUCCCGGAGAUCAACGAGCUCG
rnacentral:lncRNA from 1 species